rnacentral:rRNA from 1 species
GGGAUUGCCUCAGUAACGGCGAGUGAAGCGGCAACAGCUCAAAUUUGAAAUCUGACUCUUAUGAGUUCGAGUUGUAAUUUGUAGAGGAUGUUUCGGGUACCGGUACAGCUUAAUUUUCUUGGAACAGAAUGUCAGAGAGGGUGAGAGUCCCGUCUGGAGCUGAGCUAGGGCCUAUGUGAAACUCCUUCGACGAGUCGAGUUGUUUGGGAAUGCAGCUCAAAAUGGGUGGUAAAUUUCAUCUAAAGCUAAAUAUUGGCCAGAGACCGAUAGCGCACAAGUAGAGUGAUCGAAAGAUGAAAAGCACUUUGAAAAGAGAGUUAAACAGUAUGUGAAAUUGUUGAAAGGGAAGCGCUGGCAAUCAGACUUGUGUUUCGGGGUUCCCCCUUGCUUCUGCUUGGGUUACUCCCCGUUAUCCAGGCCAACAUCGGUUUCAGUGGUCGUUUAAAGGCCUUGGGAAUGUACCUAUCCUUCGGGUUAGACUUAUAGCUCAGGGUGUCAUGCGGCCUACCGGGACCGAGGAACGCGCUUCGGCUCGGAUGUUGGCGUAAUGGUUGUCAGCGA